UACUAGAAUGGGUGACCUCCCG
rnacentral:siRNA from 1 species